AAGAAGAUAGCUGGGUCAUAUGGUGGAAUCACUCCUAGUUUUUAAGGAAUCACCACACUUUUUUACAGAUUGGCUGCAUUAAUUUGCAGUCCCACCAACAAU
rnacentral:pre_miRNA from 1 species